rnacentral:rRNA from 1 species
GACGAACGCUGGCGGCGUGCUUAACACAUGCAAGUCGAACGGUGAAGCGCCUUCCUUUUUGGUGGGUGUGGAUGAGUGGCGAACGGGUGAGUAACACGUGAGUAACCUGCCCCCUUCUUCUGGAUAACCGCAUGAAAGUGUGGCUAAUACGGGAUAUUCUGGGUCUGUCGCAUGAUGGGUCUGGGAAAGAUAUUGUUUCGGUGGGGGAUGGGCUCGCGGCCUAUCAGCUUGUUGGUGGGGUGAUGGCCUACCAAGGCGGUGACGGGUAGCCGGCCUGAGAGGGUGGACGGUCACACUGGGACUGCGACACGGCGCAGACUCCUACGGGAGGCAGCAGUGGGUAAUAUUGCACAAGGGGCGCAAGCCUGAUGCAGCGACGCCGCGUGAGGGAUGGAGGCCUUCGGGUUGUGAACCUCUUUCGCCAGUGAAGCAGGCCUGCCUCGUUUGUGGGUGGGUUGACGGUAGCUGGAGAAGAAGCGCCGGCUAACUACGUG